rnacentral:rRNA from 1 species
CAGCCGCCACGGUAAUACAGAGGGUGCGAGCGUUAAUCGGAUUUACUGGGCGUAAAGCGUGCGUAGGCGGCUUCUUAAGUCGGAUGUGAAAUCCCUGAGCUUAACUUAGGAAUUGCAUUCGAUACUGGGAAGCUAGAGUAUGGGAGAGGAUGGUAGAAUUCCAGGUGUAGCGGUGAAAUGCGUAGAGAUCUGGAGGAAUACCGAUGGCGAAGGCAGCAAUCUGGCCUAAUACUGACGCUGAGGUACGAAAGCAUGGGGAGCAAACAGGAUUAGAUACCCGCGUAGUCCCUGUCUCUUAUAC